rnacentral:rRNA from 1 species
GACGAACGCUGGCGGCGUGCUUAACACAUGCAAGUCGAACGGUGAAGCUCCAGCUUGCUGGAGUGGAUCAGUGGCGAACGGGUGAGUAACACGUGAGCAACCUGCCCCUGACUCUGGAAUAAGCGCUGGAAACGGCGUCUAAUACUGGAUACGAGAAGGGUCCGCAUGGGCACUUUCUGGAAAGUUUUGCGGUUGGGGAUGGGCUCGCGGCCUAUCAGCUUGUUGGUGAGGUAAUGGCUCACCAAGGCGACGACGGGUAGCCGGCCUGAGAGGGCGACCGGCGACAAUGGGACUGAGGCACGGCCCAGAAUCCUACGGGAGGCAGCAGUGGGGAAUAUGGCAGAAUGGGCGAGAGCCUGAUGCAGCGACGCCGCGUGAGGGAUGACGGCCUACGGGUUGUAAACCUCUGUCAGCAGGGAAGAAGCGAAAGUGACGGUACCUGCAGAAGAAGCACCGGCUAACUACGUG